AGUGAACGCUGGCGGCGUGCUUAACACAUGCAAGUCGAACGAGAACGGAUUAUAGCUUGCUAUAAUUGUCAGCUAAGUGGCGCACGGGUGAGUAAUGUAUAGGUAAUAUGCCUCUUACUAAGGGAUAACAAAUGGAAACGUUUGCUAAUACCUUAUACUCCUUAUUAACAGAAGUUAAUAAGGGAAAGAUUUAUUGGUAAGAGAUUAGCCUGUAUUGUAUCAGUUAGUUGGUGGGGUAAUGGCUUACCAAGACUAUGACACAUAACUGGUUUGGGAGGAUGAUCAGUCACACUGGAACUGAGACACGGUCCAGACUCCUACGGGAGGCAGCAGUGGGGAAUAUUGCACAAUGGACGAAAGUCUGAUGCAGCAACGCCGCGUGGAGGAUGACACAUUUCGGUGCGUAAACUCCUUUUAUAUAAGAAGAUAAUGACGGUAUUAUAUGAAUAAGCACCGGCUAACUCCGUGCCAGCAGCCGCCGUAA
rnacentral:rRNA from 1 species